UGUUGAAAAAAACAUGGCUCUUCUUUUCUGCGUAUGUUGAACGUAAAACAAUUAGACGAAUACGAUAAUCAUCUUCCAAAUUGUUAAAAAGCGAUAACCUUUUCGACCGGCGCCGACGUAGUUUUUCUCCUCCAAUAUGGACUCCGAAUCAGUUAUUGAGUUCCUCGGAUGCGUUCCUUUGCUGCAGAAGUUACCCGGCUCCUCGCUCAAGAGAAUUGCUGAAUUGGUUGUCGUCAAACACUACGAUCGUGGAGAGCAUGUUGUCCGCGAGGGCCAAAAUGGCGAUGGAGUUUACUUCGUGUGGGAAGGAGAGGCGGAGGUUAGCGGUUCUGUUGAUUCUGGUGCCGAAAAUCGUACCGAGUUUCAAUUGAAACGUUAUGACUAUUUUGGUUAUGUUUCAUCAUCGUUUGCUCAUCAAGCCGAUGUGAUUGCUUUAUCUAAGCUCACAUGCUUGGUUUUACCUCUUGAACAUUGUACUCUGCUGCAGCCAAAAUCAAUCUGGAGUGCCGAUUCAACACUUGGGCAAUGCUCUCUUGUUGAGAGUAUACUGCAUUUGGAGCCAAUGGAAGUAAAUAUAUUCAAGGGGAUCACUUUGCCAGAUGCACCAAAAUUUGGAAAGGUUUUUGGAGGACAGUUAGUUGGACAGGCACUGGCAGCAGCAUCAAAGACUGUUGAUUGUCUUAAGGUUGUCCAUAGUUUGCAUGUAUAUUUCCUUCUUGUUGGAGAUUUUGAUAUUCCUAUUAUAUAUCAAGUAGACCGUUUACGUGAUGGGAAAAGUUUCGCUACCCGAAGAGUAGAUGCAAUACAGAAAGGAAAUGUCAUCUUCACAUUGCUUGCUUCAUUUCAAAAAGAAGAACAGGGUUUUGACCAUCAGGAAGCAACAAUGCCAUCUGUUCCUGAUCCAGAGAAACUUCUCAAUUUGGAAGAGCUACGGGAUAGACGGCUUACUGAUCCUCUUCUUCCAAGGACUUAUCGAAACAAGGUGGCAACUUCAGACUUUGUCCCAUGGCCAAUAGAGAUACGUUUUUGUGAGCCUAGCAACCGAACGAAUCAGAAUAAAUCUCCUCCAAGCUUGAGGUACUGGUUUAGAGCGAAAGGAAAACUUUCAGAUGAUCAGGCCUUGCAUAGAUGUGUUGCAGCAUACACAUCAGAUUUAAUAUUUCUUACAGUAAGUUUGAAUCCACAUCGUAAAAGCGGUUUGAAGACAAGUUCAGUGAGUUUGGACCACUCGAUGUGGUUCCAUCGAAAUCUGAAAGCUGAUGAUUGGAUAUUAUUUGUGAUAUCUAGUCCCAGUGCCUACAACGCUCGUGGUUUUGUUUUAGGCCAAAUGUUCAAUAGAAAAGGAGAGCUCGUCGUCUCGCUGACUCAAGAAGGCCUCCUCAGGGAGGUUAGAAAGCCAACCUCAGCUAUUGGAUCAAAGUUGUAAAGUAGUGCGCACAUGAUAUUAAGCAUAAGGAGCAUUUUUUUGGCAAUAAAAAUCGCUGUUGUUGGUGCUCGAGGACAAAAUGGCCAGACUUCUCGUCUCGCUGACUCAAGGCCUCCUCAGGAAGGCUAGGACGCCAAGCUCAGCUAUCGCAUCAAAGUUGUGAACUAGUAUACACAUGAUAUUAAGCAACCAUAGUGAAGCAUCUGUUGCCAAUGAUGUUUAUGAAAGUGCUGAAGUGUUGUUGGUAUCAUAGGUCGAUCUCGAAAAAGACGCUUUUUUCAUAAUUAGUAUUUUUCGCAUAUGAUUCAUGAAUCUCUAUAAUUAGUAUUUUUCACUUAUGAUUCUAAGCAGAAGACAAUUUUACCAUUCAAACGUCAUGACGAAAGAAUGGUGUGUGUGUUUUGUGUUUGAUAGAAGGUAAGAACAAAAGGAUUGGUGUUGGAAAAAAAAAAUUUUGGGUGGCGUAAAAAAUUACUGCAAGAGGU